AAGACCUUGCGCUUUUGGAGCGGCCGAUGUCUGAUUAGCUUGUUGGUGAGGUAAAAGCUUACCAAGGCUUCGAUCAGUAGCUGGUCUGAGAGGACGACCAGCCACACUGGGACUGAGACACGGCCCAGACUCCUACGGGAGGCAGCAGUGGGGAAUUUUGGACAAUGGGGGCAACCCUGAUCCAGCCAUGCCGCGUGAGUGAAGAAGGCCUUCGGGUUGUAAAGCUCUUUCAGCCGGAACGAAACGGUUACGGUUAAUACCCGUGACUACUGACGGUACCGGAAGAAGAAGCACCGGCUAACUACGUGCCAGCAGCCGCGGUAAUACGUAGGGUGCGAGCGUUAAUCGGAAUUACUGGGCGUAAAGCGUACGCAGGUGGUUUUGUAAGUCAGAUGUGAAAUCCCCGGGCUCAACCUGGGAACU
rnacentral:rRNA from 1 species